GGCUUUGGUUUAAGUGGUUGCCAUACAAUGUAAAAAAGUAAGUCCUGUUUAUUUUUAGUAAACAUUUUAUUAGGCGCAAUUAAAUGCAAAUUUCAAUAUUUUGCCUUAUACGUACAGAUGUAUAUAUUCGUAAUAAGCCUCAUAAAAAAUGUUUGCAAAUCGGUUAUUCCAUUUACUCCGAUAAUUUCAGAGAAUGUUUAUUUACCACAGAUUUUUAAGCACAAUUUACCACAUAAAAUGUGUUGCUGUAAAUGUUGGUUUUACAAAAUAAUACCAAAUAAUUAUUGUUAUUGCUUACACCCACUGAACUGUGUGUAAAUAGAGACGCGACUGACGCCAAAGCGAAUGCAUGCAAUUGGGUGGCAACUUUAAAGCGUUGAUGACAACACAUUCUUCCUUUGUGGAUACAAAGCAGGGCAAAUUAUUAAGCGCUGGAAGAUUCCUACAAACAUAGAUAUACAAAGGAACCAUGAAUAAGUGGCGUAACGUGGUAUAAUAACAUAAAUGUGUAUAUUCCUGAUUUAAGAGAAGAACUGAUCAUUUGCAGCUUUGCUUCGUUUUUGCGCACGCUAAAACAGUGCCACACCCAACCGGAAAGGAACGACCAAUGCACAAAUAUUAAAUAUUAACGAUUAGUAUUUACAUACAUCUCGAAGAAUUGACGUUGGUUUGCCAGACAAAUAUGAACAAAGUUUAUAUAAAUACAAGUUCUAAUAGGCGCGAAAGAACUGUUUAUAUUUAUUUAGCAAAGUGACUUAUAGAGCAUGUUUUAUUGACCAUGCUCGUUGUCAUGCAUUACUGGUCGAGAGUCUCUCUGUGCGGAAGAGUAUUCACAAUCAUCAUAUUUCCAUGUUGCAUCUGAGCCCUUGUGUAAUUAACAUAAUAAGUUAUAAUACUAAGUUUUCAAAAAUUAAUAUUGCUUAAAGGAAGCAUUUUUCGGUUGUGUGAAUUCUAGAAAAAUUUGCUGAACUAGAGAUAUGAGAAUUGCCAAUUUUAUACAACAAAUAAAUGAAUUACGAUACAUGCAUCAAAACUCUUCUGAAUUUCUUAC